GACGAACGCUGGCGGCGUGCUUAACACAUGCAAGUCGAACGGUGACGAAUGGUGCUUGCACUGUUCUGAUCAGUGGCGAACGGGUGAGUAACACGUGAGUAACCUGCCCCAGACUCUGGAAUAACCCCGGGAAACCGGAGCUAAUACCGGAUAUGACAUCAGAUCGCAUGGUCAUGGUGUGGAAAGUUUUUCGGUCUGGGAUGGACUCGCGGCCUAUCAGCUUGUUGGUGAGGUAAUGGCUCACCAAGGCGACGACGGGUAGCCGGCCUGAGAGGGCGACCGGCCACACUGGGACUGAGACACGGCCCAGACUCCUACGGGAGGCAGCAGUGGGGAAUAUUGCACAAUGGGCGAAAGCCUGAUGCAGCGACGCCGCGUGAGGGAUGAAGGCCUUCGGGUUGUAAACCUCUUUCAGUAGGGAAGAAGCGAAAGUGACGGUACCUACAGAAGAAGCACCGGCUAACUACGUGCCAGCCGCCGCCGUAACAC
rnacentral:rRNA from 1 species